rnacentral:rRNA from 1 species
CAGUAGCCGCGGGAAUACCGAGGGUGCGAGCGUUAAUCGGAUUUACUGGGCGUAAAGCGUGCGUAGGCGGCUUUUUAAGUCGGAUGUGAAAUCCCUGAGCUUAACUUAGGAAUUGCAUUCGAUACUGGGAAGCUAGAGUAUGGGAGAGGAUGGUAGAAUUCCAGGUGUAGCGGUGAAAUGCGUAGAGAUCUGGAGGAAUACCGAUGGCGAAGGCAGCCAUCUGGCCUAAUACUGACGCUGAGGUACGAAAGCAUGGGGAGCAAACAGGAUUAGAUACCCCUGUAGUCCCUGUCUCUUAUAC